AAAGAAAAGUACUUUAUGUCUUACAGUUAUGAAGGCUGAGAAGUCCAGGAUUGAGGGGCCACAUUGGUGAGGGGAUUCUUGCUGGUGAGGACUCUCUGCAGAGACCUAAGGCUGCACCGGCAAUCACAUGCUCAACAAUAACUUUUCUGCGAAGCUCUUGACCCUUCCACAUCUGGCAUGGAAAUAUUCCAAGUUAUCUGUGUUGGCAGAUGGAGCUGUGCUGAACAGAAGCUUUACCCUGGAUUCAGUCUUCUGUCCCAGCACGAGCACCUGACUCAACUUUGGAAGUGUGGAGAAGGUUAUGGAACUUCAUCUCGCCCUAGUUCACCUUCCCCCACUUCCAGUCCUACCCACUUAUACUUCGUCCUGGUCCAAGUGGAUUAUCCCCCUAAUUUUUCCCCUUAAAGAUAUCAAUAGAAGAUUGAUUAUC